rnacentral:sRNA from 1 species
GAUAUUAUAAAUGCAUUAGAAUAUUCGUGUGUGUGUGUGUAUUUUUAUAUAUAUAUAUUUUUUCUUUCUCUUUACUUACCCCAAUUUCUCUUGUCUAAAUCUCACCUUCUUCCACUCACUCAUUCCCACCUUUCAAUUCCCAUGGAAUUACCUCAUUCUUCCGGGUCUGUUAUCUCAUGCCAUUUCUGUGAAGCAUCCUUGGAUUUCCCACAAUAUGGCUAUCCCUCCUCUCUUCCUAUAGAACCUUUUGCCUCUUUUAAUAUCUUAGAAAACCCCAUACUGGGUUUGUAAGUCCAUUUCUAUUAGCCUCUAGAGGCUAGAUCAAUGCCAUCCUCACUUGAUUUUCCUCCAACACCUGGCAUUGCUGGGGGCAUUGCUGGGCCUGGUACAUAGGAAGUGCUUGAGAAGUGUUUGCUGACAAGGAUCUCUCUGGGCACAGGAAAGGUGGAGAGAUCUGUGAGCAGCUGCGAGCUCUGGGUGCCUCCCUGGACUGGGAUCGAGAGUGUUUUACCAUGGAUGUUGGCUCCUCAGUGGCUGUGACUGAAGCUUUUGUGCGGCUCUACAAGGCGGGGUUGCUGUACCGGAACCGUCAGCUUGUCAACUGGUCAUGUGCUUUAAGAUCAGCCAUCUCGGACAUUGAGGUGGAGAACCGGCCCCUGCCUGGCCACACACAGCUUCGACUGCCUGGCUGCCCCACCCCCGUGUCUU